AAGUUGAUUGGAGUUGACUCUACAUAGACUUUUCUGGGAAAGCCCAGUUGGGAGGAGGUGACUGAGGAGGAGGCAGGCCAUGGGGUUGGGUAUGCAGAGAACAGGACCGCACUCCUCAGAGGGUGGUCCCUGGACAGCAGCUUCCGCAUCACCUAGGAAAUUGGGUUCUGUACUCCUUAAACACACACACACACACGCGCACACACACACACACACACACACCCCAAAAAGGAAAAAAUCAGGGUAAAAAGUCCCUGUGUGGUUUUGGAGAAACAAAGGCAUGGAAGUGGAAAGAUGGCGUGAGUUUGAAAGCCUGAGUGAACUUCCCCUGAAAGUGGCUGCCUCUGGCUGUUUGGUGUCUUUGUGGGUCUCAAAGGACAGAGCCGAGAUUUGCGGAGAUAAAUUUCAUACAGAGAGGAGUUUCUUUGUAGGGAGCUUCUUGGGUGUGGCAAACAGAUACAGUACUGGCUGUGAUCAUUAGAAAAAUAAGUAGCGGGUGCCUGGGUGGCUCAGUGAGUGAAAGCCUCUGCCUUUGG